AAGAAAUCGAAGGGUGUCUCUGUUUGUAUUUGUCAAUAACCUAACCAGCUAGUUACCUGAUGCGCAUUGUCAUCUAACCCUACAGAGUUGUAAGGGAUUUCUCCUGAGGUAAAUUUAUUGGUUCUCCCUAUAUUCUCUAGGGUUUUAGGACGCUUUUGCUUUUUAAUUUGGAUCUGUUCUUAUUUAUGGGUGUUUCUGGAUCGUUAAUUCUGCCAGUUGAUGCUUUAUACUGAGGCUAAUGCAAUUAUCACCAUGUUGCCCGGUGUGGAAAUUAAGAAUUAGGUGGGAAAUCAUCCAUAUCAUUGAGUAUGCUUUUAGAUAAACUAUUCAUAUGAGCCUACAGAUCUCUCUUUUUAUCCUAACUAGAAAUUUUCAGUUUUCACAAAAUUUGCUUCAUGAAAUUCUUUCUUCUUGAUUUUGUUUUCAGUAGGAAGUUUAAAUGGCGAGGCGAGUUACGCGGUCGAGGCAGCAAAUAACUCAGCAGCCAGAACCACAAUCGCGGGCGAGGUGGACAAAUGGCCUAACUAAGAUAUUUGCGGACUUAAUGGUUGACCAGGUCCAGAAAGGGAAUAAACUAAACAACAAUUCUUUUAGCAAGAAAGCAUGGAACAUCAUGUCUGAUGAGUUUUAUCAGAAGACUGGCCUGAAAUGGGAUAAAGAGCAGCUCAAGAACAGAUAUGCGGUCAUGAGGAGGCAGCACGCUAUCGUAAAGUCACUUCUUAAUCGAAGUGAAUUCCGUUUGGAUGCAUCUACUGGGAACAUUAUAGCCACCAAUCAAGCUUGGAAUGAGUAUAUAAAGGUAUGCUCCUUUUGUCUCUAAGUUGCUAAUUUUGUGGCAAAUAUAAAUCUCUCCUGCAUUAGAUGGAGGAAUCUUCCUUAACCCCAUACUUGGUGGAGGACUUUUUGGCUACAGUGGAAUUUGUGUAUUAAUUGAAAAUUUUGGUCUUUUUGGAUUUAAUAGAUGAGCAUGCUAGAAAUUGUACUAAUGACUAUAUCCUGGGCAAUUCCAAUGAAUGAUUUGUGAAGCAAGUUUUAAUUCCAUAAUAGCCAAUAAUGUUUAUCCACAUUAUAGGGUUGGAGUUCCUCCAAACUGGGUGCAGGAGGCUGAUCUAUGUUUCUUUAAUUGAUCUGCUCCAACAUGCUGUGAAACACCCACAUCUAGGGACAUCCUGAUGCUGAGCCUAUAAGAGGCAAUGGGUGCCCAAUCUACAAACAGCUCGGUGUGAUAUUCUCUGAGCCAUUAACCAAUGGGAAUCAUGACCAGCCUGCUGAACUAGAGGAAGAGGCUCCUUCAGCAGUUCCUUUUAAGGAGACUUUGAACAAUAUCCAAGAGGAAGAGUCCUCUUCAGAAUCUGAGGACGAGGAUGAUGUGGCAGAUAACCAAGAAACAUUUCAACCUGCCACACAUAUUGCAACUACUAUAGUGCAUGGUACUAGUGCAACUACUGUUAUGGACAAUACAACUGCUGCUAAUCGUAAAAGAGGUCGCAAGGGGAUUGAUGAUGCUAUUGCAGGAGCUAUAUUGCGCAUGGCAGCCGCAUCAAGGCUGAAGACAGCUGCCAUAAAGCAAAUUAGUGAGAGAUACAGUAUAGCUGAUUGUAUUAAGGAAUUGGAUGCAAUGCAAGGUGUGGAAGAAGGAGUCUAUUUUGCUGCUUUGGAUUUGUUUGACAACCCUAAUGCAAGGGAGAUCUUCUUAUCUCUAAAAGUUUGAUGGCAAGCAUGUGCCGUGUAGACUCUUUUAACAAACAUGCAAGCGGUUCAGCACAAGAAGGGAGUACUUGUUAACAAAAGUUCUUCGGCUGGUGAUGAGGAAGGAGAUUACAACCCAAACAAGAAAAAGAUGCCGAUCAGCCACACAUAGACAGGAGACAGUUUGACUGUGAAGAGAACGCUGGGAACACUAGCUUCCCUUCUUCACAACAUCCAUGCCUGAAUUUCCACUCAACUUUUAUUUUCCUUAUAAGGCAGCUACUUUAUCAAGAAUUGCUAAACCUGUAUACAGUUGCUCAUGAAAUUUUGAUAAAAAUUCGUCAGGCAACUAUGGACCUACUAGACUUCUUGUCUUCACAAAUCUUGGCAUAAACUUUCCUUGUUCUAAACCCCAAUAGCACAUCCAGUCCAAAUCCAAGGACACAGGCAAGGGCCAUGAUAAGAAAGAUGAGGAAAUAACACUGAGGACCAACACAAACAUUGCCACCUCCAGCUGAACUAGUUGCUUGAGCAUCAUAAAUAUAACCAGCAAGCAGGCCAGAGAAAAGGAAGGAACCCAAAGGAAGAUUGAGGAUGAGAAUAUUGUACAACAAACCAUAAUAUUUCAGACCAAAUAAUUCUGAGGCUACUGGGACAGUAAUUGUCAGACGAACUCCAUAGCAUAUGCCAACCAAUAUUGAACCAAUGUAAAGUGAUCCAGGCAAGGCAAGUGCCAUCACCACAAAUCCAAGACACAUUACAAUUUGUGAAGCUGCAUUCCACAGAGGCCUUGGGGUCCCAAAUUUCCUGCAAAUAACAUGAAGGACAUGACCAAAAUUUUCACGAUGAGGAAAUGAUCUGAAUCUCAAAUGGAGAGAAAAAGAAGGAAAUCAACUUACCAGAGGUAAUAUUCUGAUACUAGGCCUGAUAAAAUGCGUCCAAAAAAUCCCCAAAUGCUAGUGAGUGACACAAAAAUGGAUGAAUCAACAUAUCCAAGAGCCAGCCCCAUCUGGCCCAUGUUGUUCAUCACACACAUCCCAGUUCCCACACCACAAAGAAAUGAUAAGAACAGAAUCCAGAAGUCAUAUGUUUGUAUCAUUUCAAGAAUUGUGUGAUCCUCCCCAAUCAAUGGCCGUUGCUUUAUCCCGACAUUCAUUAUCUCUGCCGGCUCUUGCUUGGCUGGUGAAUCUUUUCGACGAACAAGUAAUGGUUCCUUAACCUGUUCAAUAUCUGAAUUGGAUUUCACCCUGAACAAAGCCGAGUAUAAAGGAACAAGUAAUGGGGUAGCAAGUAGGAGUACGAGUCCUACUGCAAAUGCCAGAGAAAGAAUAUGGCCAUGAUUUCCAGUGAUGUCAAAUGCCAAGAGAUAAACAGCUACUACAAUGGCAAUGACAUUAAAAACAUUGAAAAAUCGAGUUUCUUGUUUUCUUUCUGCUGGAUCUGCAGCAGGUGUGGUUUCCCGGAGGAAGAGAAUAGCAGUAAGGCAAACGAUGGCUGGAACAAUGGCAAGAAUAAGCAGAAAUGUAGAGGGGUUGGAAGAGAAAAGAGCAGUGCAAAUAUCAGUGAAGAUUGCUGUGCUGAGUCCUACAUAACCCUUGAGGAUUCCAGAGACUGGACCACGAUUUUUAGGGAAGUUUCGCAUACAAGUCACUAAUACUGCCGUGUUCAUCCAUGUUGUGCUAUUGCCUCCCAUGCACAGAAAUAUACACAUCUGUAGCAGAAAACGGCACAUUAUAGCUUGGCGAUGAUAAAUGGAUAAUAUAAGCCAAACCUGACAUUUAUGAAUUGCUUGUAUACCUGCCAGUACGGUAGAGGACGAAUUCGCUGGCUGACAACAAGCCAUUGAACACCAUAUCCUAUAAGUCCUUCAAGUGAUCCUAUGAUAAGUAACGCUGAAGUUGACCACCGAUCCGAAGCAAGGCCAGAGAUGAGGCCAAAUGCCUUGCCAACAUCUUUAGCAACGGAAAGAUUAUUGAGCUCCAGUUGAGUGAGAGCCAUGAGCGAUUUUAGAGCAUCAGAAUAGUUGGAAAAUGUGUAAUUGUUACCACAUAUUGCCUGCACCCAUAUAGCAGUAACAAAUCCUAGCCAUUUUCCAGCAGGUGAUGAAGGAGAUAACAAUGAAAGCAU
rnacentral:misc_RNA from 1 species